UGAAGAGUUUGAUCCUGGCUCAGGAUAAACGCUGGCGGCGUGCCUAAUGCAUGCAAGUCGAACGGGAGUAGCAAUACUCAAGUGGCAAACGGGUGAGUAACACGUGGGAACCUGCCCUUUAGUGGGGGACAACCUUUCGAAAGAGAGGCUAAUACCGCAUACGGUGGAGACACUAAAGCAGCAAUGCGCUGAAGGAGGGGCCUGCGUCUGAUUAGCUAGUAGGUGGGGUAAAAGCCUACCUAGGCGAUGAUCAGUAGCUGGUCUGAGAGGAUGGUCAGCCACACUGGGACUGAGAAACGGCCCAGACUCCUACGGGAGGCAGCAGCAAGGAAUUUUCGGCAAUGGGGGAAACCCUGACCGAGCAACGCCGCGUGGGCGAUGAAGUCUUUCGGGAUGUAAAGCCCUUUUCUGUGGGAAGAGCAAGGACGGUACCACAGGAAUAAGCACCGGCUAACUACGUGCCAGCAGCCGCGGUAAUACGUAGGGUGCAAGCGUUGUCCGGAUUUACUGGGCGUAAAGGGCGCGCAGGCGGCUUGUUAAGUUACUCGUGAAAGCCCCCGGCUAAACCGGGGAGGGUCGAGUGAUACUGGCAGGCUAAGAGAGCAGCAGAGGAUAGUGGAAUUCCCGGUGUAGUGGUGAAAUGCGUAGAUAUCGGGAGGAACACCAGUGGCGAAAGCGACUAUCUGGGCUGUGUCUGACGCUGAGGCGCGAAGGCUAGGGGAGCAAACAGGAUUAGAUACCCUGGUAGUCCUAGCAGUAAACGAUGAACACUAGGUGUGCGGGGAAAUUGACCCCCUGCGUGCCGUAGCUAACGCAAUAAGUGUUCCGCCUGGGGAGUACGGUCGCAAGAUUAAAACUCAAAGGAAUUGACGGGGACCCGCACAAGCAGCGGAGCGUGUGGUUUAAUUCGACGCAACGCGAAGAACCUUACCAGGGCUUGACAUACUACGUUCAAGGGCGGAAACGUUCUGGUCGCAAGACGAGUAGUACAGAUGCUGCAUGGCUGUCGUCAGCUCGUGUCGUGAGAUGUUGGGUUAAGUCCCGCAACGAGCGCAACCCCUAGUGUUAGUUGAAAGAUCUAGCGCGACUGCCGGUAGGAAACCGGAGGAAGGUGGGGAUGACGUCAAGUCAGCAUGGCUCUUACGUCCUGGGCUACACACACGCUACAAUGGCUGGUACAAAGCGAAGCGAGACGGCGACGUGGAGCGGAUCGCAAAAAGCCAGUCUCAGUUCGGAUAGCAGGCUGCAACUCGCCUGCUUGAAGUCGGAGUUGCUAGUAAUCGCGCAUCAGCACGGUGCGAUGAAUAUGUUCCCGGGUCUUGUACACACCGCCCGUCACGUCAUGGAAGCUGGUAACACCUGAAGCCGGUGUGCUAACCGCAAGGAGGCAGCUGUCGAGGGUGGGAUUAGUGACUGGGACGAAGUCGUAACAAGGUAGCCGUAGCGGAAGCUGCGGCUGGAUCACCUCCUUUCUAGGGA
rnacentral:rRNA from 1 species